AUGUGCCAGUCGGUUUCAAUUGUGGUUCUGGUUGGGCAGGACCUAACUAUCAAACCAAAGUAUCUUAUAACAUUUACUGUUGGUUGUGAUCAGAAAAAAAAUGUUGAGGCAGCAGUUAAAAAGUUCUCUGAGGACUUUACCAUCCUUCUAUUUCAUUAUGAUGGCCAAACAACUGAAUGGGAUGAAUUUGAGUGAUCAAAGAGGGCUAUUCAUGUGAGCGUUCAGAGACAAACAAAAUGGUGGUAUGCCAAAAGAUUUCUGCAUCCUGACAUUGUGGCGUCAUAUGACUAUAUAUUUAUCUAGGAUGAAGAUCUAGGAGUUGAGCAUUUUAAUGCAGAAAAAUAUAUAAGACUAGUGAGGAAAUAUGGUUUGGAGAUUUCACAACCUGGUUUAGAACCUAAUAAAAGGUUAACAUGGCAGAUGACAAAAAGAAGAGGUGAUCGAGAAGUUCACAAGUAUCUACCAGAGAAACCGGGUUGGUGCCCUAACCCACAUUUGCCUCCCUGUGCAGCGUUUGUUGAGAUCAUGGCUCCUGUAUUUUCUAGAGAUGCAUGGCGGUGUGUGUGGCAUAUGCUUCAGAAUGACCUGGUACAUGGUUGGGGUCUUAACUUUGCUCUUAGAAGAUGUGUAGAGCCUGCCCAUGAGAAAAUUGGAGUUGUAGAUUCUCAAGGGAUCGUUCAUCAAACUGUUCCCUCGCUUGGGAACCAGGGGCAAGCGGAGAAUGGGAAGGCACCAUGGCAAGGGGUUAUGAGGGAGAGGUGUAAAAAAGAGUGGACCAUGUUUCGAGUUCGCAUGACCAAUGCCGAAAAAGCAUAUUACAAGGAGAUGGGAAUUAAUCCUACCAAUUCCACAAUUGAUUAGGGGAUGACCCUCACAGAAGCUGACCUGUAUACAAUCAUAAUUACCACUGUUCUUAGGGUUUAUUUUAUUUUAUUUUAUUUAAUAAUAGUGAUCAUUUUUU